UCCAUCAUCAUCAAAGAGCAUCCAGAGGUUUGCCAUCAAUCACAAAAUAGAAGUUACAUCCUCUGUCUACCCAAUGUUUACCAAGGUUUUCCUAUUCGCAGUCCAGGGAGCCAAAACACAAGUCCACUUGGGCAAUACUAUGCCUUCCCCUUGCCAAUCUGCAACUAUGGACACCGACAAAAACAUAAAUAGGUACUCUUCAGCGAAAAGAAGCAUCCAAUUUACAGAAGAUGGAGCCACCAACAAAGAGGGUCAACAACAGGAACAUCUUCAGGAUACACAAGUGCAUCUCCAGGUUGUCAAAAAGCAUAAGCAAGAAUAACAAUGUGAAAAUGAACAAAUGUGAAGGACAAGAGGAUAAUGGUAAUAAAAACACAUAGGGCACCGUCAAAUACCAUGCAAGGACCAGGAAAUCUUCAAGACGCACGAAAAGCACCUAUGGAUUGCACCAACUUCCAUUGAAAAUUACCUCCAAAACUAAC